AGUUCUGCCCGUCACCUAGCAACCCCAGUAGAGUUCCGCCCAUCACCUAGCAACCCCAGUAGAGUUCCGCCCGUCACCGAGCAACCCCAGUAGAGUUCCGCCCGUCACCGAGCAACCCAAGUGAAGUUCCACCUGUUACCUAGCAACC